UGCAUGGAGGAAAAGCACAAACUACAUGCUGGGAAGUUGGAUGGAAUCAGUGAAUAGACUACGGUGAAUUUCAGCCUUGCUUCCAGAAUCAGGAAAUCCAAUGGAGAACCUGAAAUGGUUGGUGGGAAAAGAAGAGAGUGGAUGGAGGCUUCGCCUCAGCAUUCAGCACUGGCGUUUCUUGAGGUGGUCGGCAUUGUUCCUCGCUCCUGGGCCUG
rnacentral:lncRNA from 1 species